ensembl:miRNA
UUGUUCAGAAAGUCUGUUGUUGUAAACAUCCCCGACUGGAAGCUGUAAAGAUACAACUAAGCUUUCAGUCAGAUGUUUGCUGCUACCGGCUGUUCACGGACAUCACCUUGUUAUAACUAUAUCUG